rnacentral:rRNA from 1 species
AUUGAACGCUGGCGGCAGGCUUAACACAUGCAAGUCGAGCGGGGGAAGGUAGCUUGCUACCGGACCUAGCGGCGGACGGGUGAGUAAUGCUUAGGAAUCUGCCUAUUAGUGGGGGACAACAUCUCGAAAGGGAUGCUAAUACCGCAUACGUCCUACGGGAGAAAGCAGGGGAUCUUCGGACCUUGCGCUAAUAGAUGAGCCUAAGUCGGAUUAGCUAGUUGGUGGGGUAAAGGCCUACCAAGGCGACGAUCUGUAGCGGGUCUGAGAGGAUGAUCCGCCACACUGGGACUGAGACACGGCCCAGACUCCUACGGGAGGCAGCAGUGGGGGAUAUUGGACAAUGGGGGGAACCCUGAUCCAGCCAUGCCGCGUGUGUGAAGAGGGCCUUAUGGUUGUAAAGCACUUUAAGCGAGGAGGAGGCUACUCUAGUUAAUACCUAGGGAUAGUGGACGUUACUCGCAGAAUAAGCACCGGCUAACUCUGUGCCAGCCGCCGCGGUAA